GAUGAACGCUGGCGGCGUGCCUAACACAUGCAAGUCGAGCGGCAGCGAGGGGUGCUUGCACCCUGUCGGCGAGCGGCGGACGGCUGAGUAACGCGUGGGAACGUGCCCCAAAGUGAGGAAUAACUGCCCGAAAGGGUAGCUAAUACCGCAUAUUAUCUUCGGAUCAAAGGAUUUAUCCGCUUUGGGAGCGGCUCGCGUCGGAUUAGGUAGUUGGUGAGGUAAUGGCUCACCAAGCCGACGAUCCGUAGCUGGUCUGAGAGGAUGACCAGCCAGACUGAAACUGAGACACGGUCCAGACUCCUACGGGAGGCAGCAGUGAGGAAUCUUCCACAAUGGGCGAAAGCCUGAUGGAGCAACGCCGCGUGCAGGACGAAGGCCUUCGGGUUGUAAACUGCUUUUAUAAGUGAGGAAUAUGACGGUAACUUAUGAAUAAGGAUCGGCUAACUACGUG
rnacentral:rRNA from 1 species